rnacentral:misc_RNA from 1 species
CCAGGGGAAUAGCGAGCCGGGAACUCAUCAGCCAGCCCCUGCUCAGAAUUAAGCACCACCACCACCCCCAUAGGCGUAGGAAUUGAUGGGUUUGUUGCUUUAUACAUGGUGAUCAUAUGCAUAUGUGUUCUAUAAUUUUUUUGUUGGGGGGAUAUUCGUUAGUUUGAAACUUGAGUAUUGGUUUUGUUGAUGAGUUCCCGGC